ACUUGGGGUCCUGUUAAGGGCCUCUGGAACGUCGCCGAAACACCCUUCGGAAUGUUCUAUGUCUUAACCGCCCACAAGGCAGUUCGAUGAGGUUGCGACUGGAACGAAGUUGUCCUGAGGGACGGGGAAGCGUUUAACGAUACAGUCUGGCAAUCAGCUCCUAGCCACUGCCCAACAACACCUUGUGUUGCUUCAGCAGGAGGCCCGACAGCUAAGUGCAAGGCUAUUCGGCUCGUCACCCCCUCCUCCCAGCAGCAAUCUUGUUC
rnacentral:ncRNA from 1 species